rnacentral:lncRNA from 1 species
AUGAAAGCUGAGUCUUCAAAGACUACAGCAAAAUUAAUAGAAGAAACACAAAAGAGAUAUGGACAGAUAUUGGAAAAGAAAGACAAGAAUCACCAGGAACAUGUGCAACAGUUGAUGAAAAAGAUGGAGAGAGACAGAGCACAGUUAAUAGCAGAGCAAGAGAAGAAAAUGACUCUUAUCCUUCAGGAGCGAGAACAACAUCUCAAGAAGGAACUCUCUGAAGAGAGAAGAAGGCAUGAGAAAGAGAUUCAGAAUAUAGAGGCGAAAAACAGAGAAAGAAUCUUGCAAUGUAUUAGACUUUAAACUUGUACAAUCAAUAUGCCCCCACACUGUCACCAGGACUCAAGUAUAACCAUCAACUCCUAAAGAGCAAUCAAUAGCAGUGAACAUAAACUUAUCAUUCUUGCACAUACACUGGCCUAUAGACUUUGCAAGAAUGAAAAUAGUGUACAAAGGACAAGAUUUGCUAUUAAGGCAAUCUCUUCG